rnacentral:lncRNA from 1 species
ACCUUCCCCUGCGUGGUCCUCAUCGUGCUGUUGGUGCGGGGGGUGUUGCUAUCCGGCGCCCUGGAUGGCAUCAUCUACUAUCUCAAGCCUGACUGGUCGAAGCUGGGGUCCCCUCAGGUGUGGAUAGAUGCCGGGACCCAGAUUUUCUUUUCUUACGCCAUCGGCCUGGGCGCCCUCACGGCGCUGGGCAGCUACAACCGCUUCAACAACAACUGCUACAAGGACGCCAUCAUCCUGGCCCUCAUCAACAGCGGGACCAGCUUUUUCGCUGGCUUCGUGGUCUUCUCCAUCCUGGGCUUCAUGGCCGCAGAGCAGGGCGUGCACAUCUCCAAGGUGGCGGAAUCAGGUGAGGACCCCGACCCCUCCGCCCGGCCUUCCGUCCUAACAGACCCCAUCCGCGAACACACGUGCACACAGACGUUCUGGGAAACGAGA